GCCUCCCUCCUCAACUACUUCUCUCUAGGUUUUGCCGGUCUCUCAUCUUUGGCCUGGCUCUCAAGUAAUUCUCUCUAGAUCUCAUCUUCGGCCUGGCUCUCACGUACUGCUCUCUAGAUCUCAUCUUCGGCCUGGCUCUCACGUACUGCUCUCAAGUAUUCUCUCUAGAUCUCAUCUUCGGCCUGCCUUCCCAAAAAUCAGUUUCCUCUAGAUCUAGAUGUGACGGUCGGUCUCUUGUACAUCAUCUUCUUCAACAGUGGUCAAGCAGAACACUUACCAGAAAAAGAAUCAGUUGGCGCAGCAAGAAGGCAGGAGAAAGCAGCAAGAGGGCAGGAGAAAGCAGCAAAGGAGAAAGAAGAUCUACGGAUUAAAAAAAAAUAAAAAUAAUCAUUCAACAUUACAAUGGAAACCAUGCGGAUACGAGGACAGAUUAAAAAUGCAUUUUCAGCAGCAGCACUUACCAGAAAAAGUUGGCUGCAGCAGAAGGCAAGGAGAAAGAGAAAGCAGCAAGGAGACAAGGAGAAAGCAGAUCCUACGGAUUAAAAAAUUAUUCACCAUUACAAUGGAAACCAUGCUGAUACGAGGACAGAUUAUGAAGGAUAUAUAUUAUACUUAACAAUUAUUUGCGUUUUUUA